AAGGUUGCAAAAUGGCGAGGGGGGAGGUAAGCUGUCUUUGCUUGGCCAUCUUGGGCUAGCAGGCCUUGCAGAGAACUACCUUUUUAGCUGAGUGAAGGGAUCAACCUGAGUUGGAGUUCUCCUAUGCUGUGGCCAGAUCCACUAGAAAUUAACCCAGAAUCUUAGCCUCUCAGUGGCCUAUCGGUGAUGCCACACUCAAUCAGAAACUAUGCUACUGCUGAAGAGGUAUAUUGAGCCCUGCCUGGUUAACCUCCAGUGAGGUUAUUAGAGAAUUGGGAGAGGCUCAAAUCAGCAUCCUGCACCUAGUUAUCAAACCAUUGUGAAGUCUUGAUUCCUGGAUGGCCAGAAAACUUGUCAUUGGUCAAGAGCAACAUUAAGAUCUGCCUGUUACUCAUACUGAUGCUUCCUGCCCAGCAAGUUCAUCAGAGGGCGAGGAUGAAUUACGGUUGCCAUGAAUGUCCUUGUGAGGCAGUUGGGAAGCCUUGGCUGGAUUGUGAAGGAUAUUUGAAAAGUAUUUUAGAGUCCACCAGAUCAUCCAUGUGAGUGACCAUGCAGCAAAAGAAGGAGGGUCCUCUCAGUGAUUAAGGAUUAUGAAGUAUUAAUUCUUCCACUGAUAUCUCAAAAGGUGAUCUGGACAAAGGAACAGGUAUCUCAGCUUCCAAGUUUGCUGGAGCCAUGUUUUCUCUAAUGUCCCCACAGAACAGUGGUUGGUAGGAUGGCGGAGACAUGGACUUCAGAGAGUUCUUGGUAGAAGACUCAAAGAGCCACCUGUCAUGAGACAUCCCACUUCCUUCCCCAGGUUACUUCCAAGACUGAGCAGCCAGGUUUUUGGUAGAUGAGAACAAAUGUUUCUUCCUGAAGCCCUGGGGCUUCAGGUAGGAAGAAGGACUGCUAUACUUGUUCUCACCCUUGGCUUCUGGCUGCUCCAGUUAAACAUGGUUCCCAUUGAUACAGACAUUAGAGUGGGAAAGGACUUCGUUCAUAGACCGAAGACCCUCAAAGGAAAGUCCUUCCAUUUUGGGAAGGGUGACAUUGAUUUCGUUUAGCUGCUUAAGAUAUGUACUUGCUGUUGUCUUGUGAGACAUGACAUCUGAAGCUGAAGAGGAGUCCCUCUCAUUGUUGUCAUUGUCCCACCGGGACUGAAAGUCUCCCAGUUGAGGCAGCAUUUUAGCUUUGAUGUCUACAGGGCAAUCAUGGAUCAGGAAAUUUCUGCAAAUUAGACUUGGAAAACAAGGUCUUGAUCCUUCUUGUCUUUGGACGAAGACUAAUCAUCACUUUUGACUGAAGGUGUAGUGCUGGAGACUAUGUUGGAGGCAGCACCUGAUGCACUAUCCAUAUUCUUCCCCUUGAUCUUGUCUUAAAGUUUUCCAAAUGGAUUCCGAGGCUUGUCUUUGAUGAAAAGGUCAAACAUACUGGCAGUCAUGUUGUUUCUCAUAAGCUGGAUGUCAACCUCAAUUUCUCCUCUUUAUCCUUCUCUCCUGGUUUGGAUUUCAAGGUAUACCACCGCAUCUUCCUGCUCCCCUAGUCUGGGUGCAGGUCCUGCAGGUACACCUCGGCGAAGCCCAAGUACAGUAGCAGCAGCACCUCAAAGGUGGCCUCCUCCUCUGACACUGAGGUGGCAUACUUCUCCUUACCCACCUGAAUCACCGAGUACAUGUUGCUUGUACCGUCAGGCUCUUGGUUCUUGGCCCCUGGCCCUAUGCCUGCAACACUGUCACCUGCACGUGGAUUGGGAACCACAUAGCCCCCGGACCUGCUAAGGCCAUUAAGGACAGGAUGGUGAUGCCUCGGCUGACUGACGUGAGAAGAUUGUCAUGACCCAUGGCCUCUACUGCUGUCCUACCAACAGAAACUUCAUAAUGUUGUGCAGGCGUUACCACUACCUAGUUCCAGAACAUUGCCAUCACCCCCAAAAUAAAUCUUGCAUUCAUUAAGCAGUCACCCCUAUUUUCCCCCAU
ensembl:lncRNA FTX FTX transcript, XIST regulator